rnacentral:RNase_P_RNA from 1 species
AAGGCAGGCCGGUUUGUCGCCGUUCUUUUUCGGGAGAGCGGAGGAAAGUCCGGGCAACACAGAGCACCAUAUUUCCUAACAGGAAGCUGUUUGAAAAAGCAGAGCAACGUAACAGAAAACAACCGUCCGCGAUGGCGGAUAAGGGUGAAAAGGCGAGGUAAGAGCUCACCGGAUCAAAUGGUGACAUUUGAUGCCGUACGACUUAUGGGUUGCAAGAUCAUGUAGACCGGCGCAUACAGGAUGGCUCGUCCGAUGCCGGAGGGUAGAUCGCUUGAGCCAAAUAGCAAUAUUUGGCCCAGAUAAAUGACAAACACUUUAUUAAUUCAUCUUAUAUUAAUUGAAGCACAGAACCCGGCUUACAGGCCUGCUGUUUUU